GCGUAGGGAACCUGGCCCUUACAGGGGGAUAACAGAUGGAAACAACUGCUAAUACCGCAUAAGCGCCCAGCCUCGCAUGAGGCAGAGUGAAAAACUAAGGUGGUAAGGGAUGGCCCUGCGUCCGAUUAGCUAGUUGGUAUGGUAACGGCAUACCAAGGCGACGAUCGGUAGCCGGCCUGAGAGGGUGGACGGCCACAUUGGGACUGAGACACGGCCCAAACUCCUACGGGAGGCAGCAGUGGGGGAUAUUGCACAAUGGGGGAAACCCUGAUGCAGCGACACCGCGUGGGUGAAGAAGCGCUUCGGCGUGUAAAGCCCUAUCAGUGGGGAAGAAAAAGGACGGUACCCAAAGAAGAAGCACCGGCUAAAUACGUGCCAGCAGCCGCGGUAAUACGUAUGGUGCAAGCGUUAUCCGGAAUGACUGGGUGUAAAGGGAGCGUAGACGGUUGUACAAGUCUGAUGUGAAAGCCCACGGCUCAACUGUGGGAGUGCAUUGGAAACUGUAGAACUAGAGUAUCGGAGAGGCAAGUGGAAUUCCUAGUGUAGCGGUGAAAUGCGUAGAUAUUAGGAGGAACACCAGUGGCGAAGGCGGCUUGCUGGACGAAAACUGACGUUGAGGCUCGAAAGCGUGGGGAGCAAACAGGAUUAGAUACCCUGGUAGUCCACGCUGUAAACGAUGAAUACUAGGUGUUGGGGCCCGAAGGGCGUCGGUGCCGUCGCAAACGCAGUAAGUAUUCCA
rnacentral:rRNA from 1 species